rnacentral:rRNA from 1 species
UACGAAGGGUGCAAGCGUUACUCGGAAUUACUGGGCGUAAAGGGCUCGUAGGCGGCCAACUAAGUCAGACGUGAAAUCCCCAGGCUCAACCUGGGAACUGCGUCUGAUACUGGAUGGCUUGAAUCCGGGAGAGGGAUGCAGAAUUCCAGGUGUAGCGGUGAAAUGCGUAGAUAUCUGGAGGAAUACCGGUGGCGAAGGCGGCAUCCUGGACCGGCAUUGACGCUGAGGAGCGAAAGCCAGGGGAGCAAACGGG